AAUUUAAAAAAAAAAAAAAAAAAAUUUAAAUAGAAACCUAAUUUUAAUGUAGAAAAGAAUAUGAAAAGAUAAAGAAAAAGGAAGAAUAACAAAUAAUAUAAGCUAUAAGUUAACAACGAUUUACAAUAAAAAUAGUAAAAACAUAAUACAACAAAAUUGUACCAAAAAAAAAAAAAAGUUACAAAAUAAAUAUUUUAAAAAAAGAAAUCAACAAAAAAGCCAACAUGCAUCAAUAUCAAUUUAAUUCAGGUAGACAACAAACUGUUAUUGUUCAUAAAAGAAGAACAGUAGAUAAAAGUAAAGUAAAUUUCAUUGGAAAAGAGCAUAGCUAUACUAAUGACCUGUUAACAAAUCAUUUAAAAAAUUUAAAGAUAUUAAAAGAAGACAUAAUAUUAAAAAUUAAUAAAUCAAAAGAAGAAAUAAAGGAACAGCUAUGUUCGUUUAAAUUUUAUAAUAACAAAAAAAGUGAAAAUUUUGAUAAAUUUUAUGAUAAAUGUAUUAACAUUAUUGAAAACUAUUUAUUUUUAUAUAAUGAAAUUAAUGAAAUAAUAAAAAGCGAAGCAAAAAAUAAAAGCAUAACCAACUUUGUAAACCCUGAUUUAAUUUCAUUUGUUAACACGAAUAAUGGGAUCGAUAAUAAAAACACGCACAGUGCAAGUGAUUCUAAUGAUAAAAACGGUUAUUAUGUGAGUGUGAAUGAAAGUGCUAAUAACAAUGACGGUAGGAAAAAAGUAAUGUCUAAAAAUAAUAGUAAUAUGCUUUACGAGUUAGUAGAAAAAAACAAAACAAUUCAUAAUAACAAGUUUUUAUUUGAUUAUGACGAUGAUAGUGAAAUAUACACAUCAAGUGACGAGGAAGUUGUAUUCGAAAUUAAUCCAACUAGUAUAACAGACAAGUUAAACCAAAAUUAUAAUAAAAGUAAAAAGUAUAAAGAAGGAACAAGUGACAAAAAGGUAAUAUAUGAGAAAUGUACAUUUACAAAAGAAUAUAAAAACAGCUACAUAAAAAACCAUGAAACAACAGAUACUAAUUAUACGAACCGAGAUAGUGGUAUGGUAAAAAAAAUAAAAUUAAUAGAUAGAUAU
rnacentral:lncRNA from 1 species